AGCAGCAGCCGCGGUAAAACGGAGGAUCCAAGCGUUAUCCGGAAUUAUUGGGUUUAAAGGGUGCGUAGGCGGCAUGCUAAGUCAGGGGUGAAAGACGGUGGCUCAACCAUCGCAGUGCCUUUGAUACUGGUGUGCUUGAAUGUACAUGAGGUAGGCGGAAUGAGACAAGUAGCGGUGAAAUGCAUAGAUAUGUCUCAGAACACCAAUUGCGAAGGCAGCUUACUAAGGUAUGAUUGACGCUGAUGCACGAAAGCGUGGGGAUCAAACAGGAUUAGAUACCCCCGUAGUCCCUGUCUCUUAUAC
rnacentral:rRNA from 1 species